GGUGGAGUGGCCGCGGUAGCGGUGGGGCGCCGACUGGGUGUCCCCGCGGUCGGAGGAGGUUACGGCUGUGAACUUCUCUGGUUUCCAAGGCUCGGUGCAGAGGCCCCACAGUAUCACAGUCCUGCAAGGCAUGUUGUCCAGAAUCUAAAAAAAAAAAAACUUCCUCCAGCAUUCCAUAUAUUUGUGAUGAGAUUAUAAUUCCU